AUUUAGAUAGUAUUUGUCUGGUGUACGGAGUGUUUACAAAAUAUUAUUAUAGCUUACAUCUCCUCAUUUAUUUGUAUAGUUUAUUUGCUUUCAAGGUUUUUUCUUGGUCAAAACAGCUGGUAUGCCCAACGACCGGAAUGCAAUGGAUAGAUGGGCGUUGUUUAAUAAUAAUAAUAAUAAUAAUGUUUUAUUCGUACUCACAAGAAGGAAAGAAAAUUAGUUGUUUACAUAUGUUGUAUAUAUAAGUUAGAGCACUGGCUGCACAAAAUAACCAUAAGGGCUAGAAAGAGGGUGCAGCCAAUAAGGACUGGGGAAAAUAUAAAUAUAAAACUAGCUCACAGAACAGCUGUCUCCAGUAGGAUAUAUACGUUGGAGAGAGCUGCACGCAAAAUAACCUCAUUACAAUGUUCAUAUUUACAUCAAAUAAUAAAGUUAAUUCUUGUUACAAUUCUCAAUAUUUCUGGAUCAUUUCAAUUUUUAUUCUCUUUUUGAAUUGCAAGAGAGAGAGAGAUUUGACAUUCUCGUCUAGAGAAUUCCAGAUUUUAACACCUUGGAAUCUUAUAUUAAAGAUACCAUAAUUGGUUCUAGUUUUUGGUAAAUAGUAUGAUUGUUUAACGGCAAGUCUUGUACUAUAAUUAGAAGCCUCAUGGACCGGAAUAUAAAACUGACCAAAAGCCACCGGUAAUAAGUUGUUAUGGAAUUUGUACAUAAAUUUGGCAAGAUGGAAAGAAACAAGAUCAGGCAAUUUCAUGAUAUUCAAUCUUUUAAAUAAGGGACUUGAGUGUUCAUCGUAUUUUGCAAAUGUAAUUAUUCGUAUAGCUUUUUUUUGUAAGAUAUACAAGUGUUGUAGAGUAGAGGGGUAUGUAUUACCCCAAAUAGUUAUUCCAUAAAUCAAGAACGGGUAAAUCAAUGCAUAAUAAAGAUUUACAAGAAUUUGCUCACAAACAUGGUAGCGUAAUUUGGAAAGGAUCCCAAUACUUCUUUUAAUUUUCUUUGCAAUGUAAAUUGUUUGACUUUUCCAGUUAAGAUUAGAAUCUAUGUAGAUUCCCAAAUAUUUAAUACAAAGUUCUUGUUUUAGUUCUUUUCCAUUCAAAUAUAAUUUGAAAUUUGAGGAUAUUUUCUUUUGUGGAGGAUGGAAAAUAACGAAAUUUGACUUUUCAAUAUUCAGAGAAAUGCGAUUUGAGCACAACCAUAUGUGUACAUUAUUUAGCUCAUUAUUCAAGUCAUUUUGUAAUGUAAGCAAGUUUUUGUGUUUAUAGAAAAGAUUUGAAUCGUCUGCAAAUAAAUGAAAAUCUAAAAGUUUUGAGCAACAAUUGAAGUCAUUUACAUAUAACAGGAACAGCAAUGGUCCCAGUACCGAUCCUUGGGGGAUACCACAAGAUAGUGUUAGUUGAUCUGAUGAUACAUUAUUCAAAAAGACAAAUUGUUUUCGAUUACUAAGAUAGGAAGCAAGCCAAUCUUUUGCUAUCCCUCUAAUUCCAUAAUGCUCAAGUUUCAUAAUCAGAAUUUCAUGAUUAACUGUAUCGAAUGCCUUACUAAAAUCCAAAAAUACACCACAUGAAAAUUGGCACUCUUCAAUUGCUUUUUGAAUUUUAUCAACAAUACACAAAAUCGCAGAAUCAGUCGAAUAUCCUGUACGAAAUCCAAACUGCUUGUUGUAAAGAAUAUUAUUUUUGUUAAGAAAGACUAUUAAUCUAUUAAACAUUAGUUUUUCUAGAAGUUUAUUAAAAACCGACAGAAGAGAAAUAGGUCGAUAAUUAUUUAAAUUAGUAGACAGACCUUUCUUGAAUACAGGUAUUACUUUUGCCAGCUUAAAUCUCUCAGGAACAAUUCCUGUUAAGAUGGACUCAUUAAAAACUGUUUCCAGGGGUGUUGCUAUAACACUUUUAAGUAAUUUUAAUACUGAAAUUGGUAUGCUAAAAGGACCAGUAGACUUAUUUGUCCUUAAAGACAUUAUUUCAUUUUCUAUCUCCAACGAUGUUAUAGGAUGUAUAAAGAAACUAUCACGUUGAGGAGUUGUUAGAUAAUCUAGUGGUGAUUUUUGUGCUUCCGGUAUCUUAUUCGAUAAUUGAUUGCCAAUGUUAGUAAAGUAUCUAUUAAAGGCAUUUGCAAUUAAAUUUGUAUCCGUGAUUUCACAGUUAUUCUCAAGAACUUUUGUAGGUUGUUGAUAUGAUUUGGGAUUACUAUGUAUAAUUUUUUUUAUGCCUUUCCAUACUCUCUUGCUAUUAUUAAUAUUAGAGGCAAAGUAUUUAUUAUAGUAUUGUUGUUUAGAUAAUCU